UGGAUAUAGCUCAGUUCGGUUAGAGCGCAGCAUCCGUGCUGUUGUCGCGGGUUCGACUCCCGCUGUCCACC
rnacentral:tRNA from 1 species